rnacentral:rRNA from 1 species
UACGUAGGGCGCAAGCGUUGUCCGGAAUUAUUGGGCGGAAAGAGCUCGUAGGCGGCCUGUUGCGUCCGCUGUGAAAUCCCGGGGCUCAACCCCGGGCCUGCAGUGGAUACGGGCUGGCUAGAGGCAGGCAGGGGAGAACGGAAUUCCUGGUGUAGCGGUGAAAUGCGCAGAUAUCAGGAAGAACACCCGUGGCGAAGGCGGCUCUCUGGGACGGUACUGACGCUGAGACGCGAAAGCGUGGGGAGCGAACAGG